CCCGGGCGGCGGCAUUCGUUUAGAUCCAGAGCCAAGCUGGGUCACGACGCCAGUCGUGGUGCCGUUCCACCUCCGCUUCGACGGCUCCCGCGGCCUAGUUUGAGGCGGAAUAAAUGGAAUCUCAUCGGCGUACGGCAAGCCGGUGGUGGGAUCGUCGUCUCCUCGCCCUCACGGGCCCUAGGAUCUACUCGUGGGCGUGCUCCCUACCUCCUCCUCUCAAGAUCUAGCAGUAGCUCGAAACGCUCCUCGCCUUCUUCCAGACCAACCACUGUACUCAGCCACUAUUUCUUUUUCUGUGUUGGACUUCAACUGUGGCUUAUCCAUGCAUCAAAAUCUUUCACGCGCCAAGAUCUGUUCAGGCACGAGUUGUCUUAGUCCAUACAAAUUACAAGGCAUUGCAGAGAGAAUUGGAUUUCUUGAUGUAUUUAUUGGAUUUCUGCAUGUUUUGUGCCGGCACUGUCGGCUGAAUUAAAGAGAUAUGCAGAGGCACUCUGUCGCCGAGUUGCCGGUGUGGAUUUGGAGCCGCUGGAAAAUACACAGGUGUGGUUGCGCUUGGCUGAUCUGAACAGUGGAAAGACAUCGUCCUCAUUAAAUUACACAUGAAGAUGCUACCAAGUUGCGUCACAACCUGGACGAAUGAUGAAUUCUCGCACUGAUGCAUGCUACUGGAAGACAUCACUGUGAUUCGGGAUUCCUGUGCACCAGACACGUGUGUGGAGGCAAUAUCCGAAUGGACUUGUAGGUAAUUGGUGUUUUCCCAUAGAACCAAUUUUGUUGCAUAUUUAGUCUAUAAUUUCAAGUGAUUAUGAACUUGCUAUCACAGGGUACCUUGUUCAAAAUUGGGUGAACUGCUCACUGGCUGGAUUGUGUUACUGGGUAAUGUAGUUUAGUAGCAAUUAUGAACUGGCUAUCACACUGGACCAUUUUCUAAAAUGUGAUGACUUGUUUAGUGCCGGGAUGGGGUUAGUGGAGGUUGUAACCAUGCUCUUAUGAACUGCAAGUACUUGAUUUUCAGUUUGCAGGGAUGUGUCCCUGUUCGUGGCAACUUAACCGAUAAAAUCUUCAUAAGAUAAAGUUUGUCUUUCUCACACUGCUCCGGAGAGUAUGUGUGGGCUUCUGAUGUUGAGAAGGUUGUUUAUGUGGAAAAACAAUGGGUGCUUUUCCAGUGUGAGUGUAGGAUAAUGUCAGACCCAAAGUAUCUUCUUGUUCUGAAUAAUUGGUUUGCAUUAGGUAAUGAGGGUUUCAGUUUUAUUUUUCAUCUUGCUCAAGUCCUUACAUGAUGAUUGAAAUAAUUGCCUUGCUCUUAAAAAUUGAUGUUUGAAGAUGUUAACCAGCAUGUUUGCAACUUCCUUGCAUGUUCUUGAGCAAUAUUUGGACCCAUCCUCCCAUAAAGCGGUCUGGAGACCCUCGUCCUAAUCUUUUUCGUCUGAGGCACGUUAUAGGAAGCACUAUUACUAAAGACCGAGGGGUCCAACGUUUCUGCCAUGUACCAUUUGGAAGCACUAGAACUGGAGGCAAAAGUCUGUUGAAAUUAUUAAUAGUAAUGCUUGUUGAGUGGUGAUCAUUUUAGUUUACAAUACCCAGUCUUGCCGGUCAUAUACUGAAAAUGAUCCUCUCAUGAUUUUGCCGGUCAUAUCACUUGACAUGUACUGAAAAGUCUGUUAUGUUGUGUUUCUGGAAAUGUACAUGGAUUAUCCAAUUCUAGAGGUAUGUUUAGUAAUGCUUGAA